GCAAAUUUACACCGUAACUUCGGGAGAAGGUGUGCCGCUGGCGGUUAGUGACUUCGCGUCACGAAGCUGUCGGUGGUCGCAGUGAAAUGGCGGUUGUGACUGUUUACUAAAAACACAGGACUCUGCGAAGUCGUAAGACGACGUAUAGGGUCUGAUGCCUGCCCGGUGCUGGAAGGUUAAGGGGAUAUGUCAGCGCAAGCGAAGCAUUGAACCGAAGCCCCAGUAAACGGCGGCCGUAACGAUAACGGUCCUAAGGUAGCGAAAUUCCUUGUCGGGUAAGUUCCGACCUGCACGAGGGCAUAACAACAUCCGCACUGUCUCGACCAGGGACUCAGCGAAGUUACAUUGGGGGUGAAGAUGCCCUCUACCCGCGGAAAGACGGAAAGACCCCAUAACCUUUACUGCAACUUGGCAGUGAUUUUCGGGUUGUUCUGCGUAGGAUAGGUGGGAGGCUUUGAAGUCGGGCUUCCGGGUUCGACUGAGCCAACGUUGAAAUACCACCCUGAAUAAUCUGGAAAUCUAACCUGCGCCCAUGAUCUGGGCGAGGGACACUGCCUGGUGGGCAGUUUGACUGGGGCGGUCGCCUCCUAAAUUGUAACGGAGGCGUGCGACGGUUCCCUCAGGCUGAUUGGAAACCAGCCGUAGAGUGCAAACGCAUAAGGGAGCUUUACUGCGAGACUGACAAGUCGAACAGUUGCGAAAGCAGGUGUUAGUGAUCCGGUGGUACCACAUGGAAGGGCCAUCGCUCAUCGGAUAAAAGGUACUCUGGGGAUAACAGGCUGAUCGCGCCUGAGAGUUCACAUCGGCGGCGCGGUUUGGCACCUCGAUGUCGGCUCAUCGCAUCCUGGGGCUGGAGCAGGUCCCAAGGGUUUGGCUGUUCGCCAAUUAAAGCGGUACGCGAGCUGGGUUUAAAACGUCGUGAGACAGUUUGGUCCCUAUCUUCCGUGGGCGCAGGACACCUGAGAGGAGCUAUCCAUAGUACGAGAGGACCUGGAUGGACGAACCUCUGGUGCUCCGGUUGUCACGCCAGUGGCAUAGCCGGGUAGCCAUGUUCGGAACAGAUAACCGCUGAAGGCAUAUAAGCGGGAAGCUGGCCUCAAGACUAGGUGUCCCUGACGCAAGUCACUAAAGGCCCCUCGAAGACUACGAGGUUGAUAGGCUCGGUGUGGAAGCGCUGCAAGGCGCGGAGCUAACGAGUACUAAUAGGCCGUGCGACUUGACCUC
rnacentral:rRNA from 1 species